ACUAAAUCGUUGAGUAAGAAGAGUACGUAUAUUGGAGACGUUUCAGAGAGCUGGGGAUAGGUGGGAGCCCGGUGCGGUGCCAUAUGCGGAAUGGGCUUACGAGAGGUAUGCUGAACAACUAUAAGUAGGCAACCCGGGUUCCGCCGUUACAAGGAUAAGGUAUAUAUUUGUACCUGAAUAAAGUGGGAUGCUUUUUGCAUCCAAACGAGGUGGUACCACGGUAAAUUUAUCGUCCUCUAC
rnacentral:ncRNA from 1 species